AUAAAAUUUUAUCUAGAAACAAUUUCCAUUACUUCUACUUUGUUACGACUUAUCUUAAUUAUUUUUAAAACCUUUAAAAAUUAAUAAGAGCGACGGGCAAUAUGUACAUAUUUAAAAACAAAAAUCAUUAAAAAUAAAUAUUUCUAAUUACAAUUAAAUCCAAUUAAAAUUUUCAAUUUUUCAUUUUAAAAAUUAAUAAAUUUAUUUUUAUUAUUGUAAUUCAUUCAUCUUCUUAUAAAUAAACUGUAUCUUGAUUUGAUAUAAUUUUAAUUUUAACUUUUAAAAUAUUUUUUUUUUUAUAAAUAUUUUUAUAACAACGAUAUACAAAUUUUAAUUUUUUAUAAGUUAAAUAAAUUGUGGAAUAUCAAUUAUGAAACAAAUUCCUCUAAAUUGAUUUAAAUACCGUCAAAUUCUUUAAUUUUAAAUUUUUAUUUACUAAUUAAAAUUUCAAAAAAAUAUUUAAUUUAUAUAAUAGGGUAUCUAAUCCUAGUCUAUUUAUAAAAAUUCAAAAAUUUUAAAAACUUUAUUUUUAAUAAUUAUAUUUAAAUUUUUUAUUUUACCUAAUAAUUUAAAUAAUUAUUUUAAAUAAAUAAUCUUUUUUAUAUUUAAAUUUAAUAAUAUUUAUUUUUAUAAAUUGUUUAACCGCAAUUGCUGGCACAAUUUUAAUUUAUAAUUAAUAAUAUUACUAAAAUUAAAAUUAUUUAAUUAUUUUUAAAAUUAAUUAUUAUAUUUUAAUAAUUUAAUUAUAAUAUUAUUAUUUAAAUAAUAUAAAAUUUUUAUAAAUAAUUAUAUAUAAUUUAAAUUAAUAAUAAAAAAUAAACUAGAAAUAAUUUAAUAAU
rnacentral:rRNA from 1 species